GGGUGGCACCCAGGGUGGCCAAUCAGAUGUCAGGGGUGUCCAGUGCCACCCCGGACACCCCUCUGGCUCCGCUACUGCGAUGUACGGCAGCAUAUUGCUGCUACACCAGAAAAGGGAUCAGUAUCACGUUAUAACGUGAUGUUUCUUGUUAUAACAAGAUAUUUAUAAUAUUAUAACAAGUUAUUUUCAUGUUAUAACAUGAUGCAAACGUAUCACGUUAUGACAAGAAACAUAUUUAUCAUGUUAUAACGUGAUACAAACUUAUCACAUUAUUUCAAUAGUUCGUAUCCAGUGUGCAGAGAAGGGAUACAUUGAGGAACAUGGCUCAUUUACAAGACUUGGUUAAGUUUUACUUCAUGCUUGGGCUGAGACUUGGCGAGAUUCUGCUUUUAUUGAGCACGGUGAAUGAUAUUUUGAUAAGUAUUGAAGACGUAUUAGAUAAUACCCAAUUGCUCUGAAAGUGCCAAGUCAAUGAAAGGAAUAGUUAAGAUGAGUUCAAGACAAAAUCAAUGUAUUUAUUACAAAUGUAAUAACACACUCAAGUCGAGUAUCACAGAAGACUGGACAAAUGAAUGCAGGAAAUAAAGGGAGUUAAAUAGGAUCACCAUAUGGGAGGAUACAAGAUGAUUAACCUUGCCUUUGCAGGCACUGAAAAAGGACACUGUAUGCCAGAUAACUUUUGUUUAGGUCUUUAGAUAGGGCUCCUAGAAACGGCCUUGUCACUCCUUCUAUUUGCCUCAUUCAAAGUUGCAUGGCAUUAUACACUUUGGUAAUAUUGUGACCUCUGACUUACAUCAGCGACACAGGCCUUUCAUAGUCACACCUUACAAAAACCCAACUUAUGGCUAUGCAGGUAUAAUAAAACUGAAUAAUAACAGUUUAUCAAUGAUACAAGAAACAUAAUUAAUAGAUAGGCAGAUUAUGUGCUCAUGAGCUUAAUAUUGCAAGGUAUAGAUCAAACAUUGUUUAUUAUAUUCAGAACAUUUCAAACAGUAUAGAAAUAAUAAAGUAAUUAUUAUCUUUAAUUGUUGUUAACUGAUCAGUGGUUUAAGGACAGACCUCUUCAAUAUGCAUACAUUAAGAAUAAUUUUAAAAUGCAUGGGGCUGUACAGAAGGAAGAAUGAGUCUGACCCUCUGGAGGGAGCAUCAUUUCUCAAUGAUCAGCUGGAGGGGCACGGGAAGCUUACUGGAUACAAGCUACACCAUCUAAACUGCAUCCAAGCUAGGUAUGUUCUGACCCAAAGUACAGUGAGGCAUUUGUUAAAGUUUCUAGACUCCCGUGGUGUUGAUCAAAGACGGAAAAAUUGCCUGAGGCGACGCAUGUACGUUACAGUUUUUCUUAAUCGAUUUGGUACAUUUCUCCAAACUCAGGUAACUGCUCUCAAAACAUUUAACACAGUGAUCUGUACACUUUGUAUUUGUCCUAAACAGAUUGUAAAUUCUCCUCAAUUUCAUACAAAUUACAGAUCAAAAGCAUAAUUUUCUCAAAACACUGUGCACAAAAUUCCCUAACGUUAUCACAGCAGUUCAUACAGCCAACCAAAUCUUUAAUAUAUCAGGAAAAACAUAUGCAGCUUUUUCAUUGGUCUUCACAAAGAUCACAAGCAUUUUUGUACCAUUUUCAAAACACAACAAACAAAACUCUGUGAAUUGUAAAAUAGUCAGUUGCACACCUUAUGUCCUCAAUUAACCCCAAAUUGAUAUCUGAUGAGUUAGUAAUCCACUCAACACAGAAAAAGCCAAUUUCCUAAUUGUUCACACAGCUGUCUUAAUUACAACAACUACAAAAGGGGAAGAGAAAAACAACAAAAAAGGUGAAUGAGGAGAAAAGACAAUAAAAGAAGAAGAAUGAGCAGGGGGAAAGGCAGAGGUGUAAGAGUGAGAGGUGGAGGACAGGGUAUAGGGAGAAGAAGAGGAAGAGGAGAUGGAGCAAGAAGAUCUGAAGAUGUAGGAGAAAGAGAAAGAAGAGCUGAGGGUGUAGGAGAAAGAGAAAGAAGAGCUGAGGAUGUAGGAGAAAGAGAAAGAAGAGCUGAGGAUGUAGGAGAAAGAAGAGCUGAGGAUGUAGGAGAAAGAAGAGCUGAGGAUGUAGGAGAAAGAGAAAGAAGUGCUGAGGAUGUAGGUAGAGGAGAAAAUAGAGGAUUAGAGGGAGAAGAGAUGGAUAGAUUGGAGGGCAAUGGUAUAGUGGAAAGAGAAAGAGCAGAAAAUAGAAGAGAUGGACAGAGAGGAAGAGGAGGGCAAGGUGGAAGAGGAGGGCAAGGUGGAAGAGGAGGGAGGAGAGGUAGAAGGAUAGGGUACACACGUGUUUCAAAUGAAAUCAGAGCCACACUUAUUGACCAUGUCAUAAAUCAUGGUCUCUCACUGAGAGAAGCUGGGCAGAGAGUUCAGCCCAAUAUAAACCGAUCCACAGUGGCUUCAAUUAUCCGCACAUUUCAGAGGGAAAACCGAAUUGAGGUUAGAGAACAUUCAGGUGGACGAACAAGACUUCUUUCAAUUGAACAAGAGCAUGCCAUUGUUGACAUGGUGGUCCAGAACAACACCCUCCGACUCAAAGAAAUUCAGCAAAGAAUUACACAGGACAAUCAACUGUUCCACAUUAUCCACCAAUGCAGUCUCUCCACAAUUGAUCGUGUUUUAAGGAGAAAUGCAAUCCGAAUGAAGCAAGUAUACAAAGUGCCCUUUGAGAGGAACUCCGUUAGAGUGAAGGAGUUGCGAUUCCAGUUUGUUCAAAGAAUCUUGGAGUUGGAUAGCAGUGCAACUCAUUAUGAGUACCUGUAUAUUGAUGACGCAGGCUUCAAUCUUCACAAAAAAAGGAGAAGAGGGAGAAAUGUGAUUGGCCAUCGUGCUAUAGUCAAUGUUCCUGGACAACGAGGAGGCAACGUCACUCUCUGUGCCACAAUUUCUACAACUGGUGUUGUGGCACACAAUGCUGUCUUGGGACCAUACAACACAGCAAGGCUCCUACAUUUUUUAAACCUCCUCAAUGAAAUCCUCUUUCCGCAGGGUGAUCAGGAGCAAAUGGUGCGGAAUUUUGUAGUUGUUUGGGAGAAUGUCCAAUUCCACCAUUCAGCACUAGUGCGAGAGUGGUUUGAGAAUCACAUUUCAGGAUGGUGUUCCUUCCACCAUAUUCUCCUUUCCUGAAUCCAAUUGAGGAGUUUUUCUCCUCUUGGAGAUGGAAAGUACAUGAUCGCAACCCUUACAACCAAGUAAGUCUUCUUCAAGCGAUAGAAGAGGCCUGUGGAGAUAUUGGGGCACAAGCAUGUCAAGGAUGGAUACAGCAUUCAAGGCGUUUUUUCCCGCGAUGCAUGACUCGUGAAAAUAUUUGCUGCGAUGUUGAUGAAAUUCUCUGGCCAGAUGUAAUUGAGAGGCAUGAUCAAUAAAUUAAGUGAUUCAUUGAAUGGAAUGGAAAUUAAUUGAUUCAUUGAAUGGAAUGUAUUUACGUAUUUGCAAAAUAUAUAUAUAUAUAUAUAUUUUUGUGGGUUGACUCAUUGUUAUACACCUGAACUCCUCACUAAAGAACUUAAUGAAAAACGUGUAUUUUCAUUUAUUUCUUUGUGUAUCUUCAGCUGAAUUUGUUAUCAAAUCAAAAGAGAACACACUUUUAGUUUUGAUGCUAAUAUUGAAUUUUAAUAAAUGCAUUACUAAAAUAAAAUGCUGUGUUUUAUUGUGCAGUGAAUACUUAACUGUUUCGCUAACAUAAGAGUGUGUUUAGUUUGCUGUGUUAACUGUUUUGAGAGCUGUUACCUGAGUUUGGAGAAAUGUACCAAAUCGAUUAAGAAAAACUGUAACCCUGGGCCUAAUUUUCGUGGCACGUUGACUAUGACAAACUAAAGCCAUAUGGUAUAUACAUAAAUGGAGCGAUUUAUGGCUUUUCAAGACUUAUGGUUUGGCUUCAUGCCUAUUCAACAAACAAUAAUCCCAAAAUCAUCGCUAGUUAUUUCAUAGCAGAAGUUGAGAAGAGGAUGGGGACAGCUGCCAGAAUUUGCGCAGAUUUUGGAACAGAAAAUGUCACAAUGGUUGAGAUGCAGAUAUUCUUACGAUGGAGUAUGGAACAUCAUAUCAGUAAUAGUUACAUUUCUGGGUCCAGUACUAACAACCAACGGAUCGAAAGCUGGUGGGGCUUUUUAAGAACGCAUCAUGCCCAGUAUUGGAUGAAUCGUUUCCAGGAACUAAAAGACUGACCGUUUCUCAGGAGACUUCUUGGACAAGCAACUUGUAUUGUUUACUUGUUUGAACAUCAUUGAGGAAGAGCUGCAGCAAGUCACAUUUGUGGAUACCCACAUUAUCCGCAACAGCAGACAUGCAGUAGCUCCAAGUGGACGUCCAAUUCUAAUAAUUCUAGUACACUAUCCCUCGUCUAUUUGGAGGACAGGAUCACCUGAAAGGGAUUUCUCAGGAAGCAGUGGAGGCUUGCAAACAAGAAUGCCAACAGAAAGGACCAUUUCCUUGUGAUGAAACGGUAUUCAGCUUAUGUUGCCUUAUAAUGGCAGAGAACUUCUUACUCUCACCUACCUACCACAGCAGAUGAAGCCAUAGAGCUGUAUCUCUUCCUGAGUGCAUUCAUCCUUAAAAAUGAAUCAAUUACCCCAAGAGCUCAGGAGCAUUAAGGCGGGGCUGCAUAAUGUAAACUGAUACCUUGGCUAGUUUUGAAAGGUUUACUGAAUUUGUGAGGACAUUUUUAUAAAACUAAUCACAACUAUUUACUUUUUGUUUUCUUUCCUGAUUUGUGCAGAGGGAAAAACAGUCUAAAUGUCCUGGAUAAAAAAAAACAGAUACUACUGAGUGGUUACCCUGCUAUGAGAGAAACCUAUCUGUCUCUAACAACAGAUCAUUUUAAUUUAUGAGUUAACAAGUUCACUAAACAGGGAAGAAUAUAGGAAUAUGAACAAGUGGUUGGCCAAGGUAAUAGAAAAUGUGAGUGUGUGUUUGUGUACUUAUGUUUACCAAUACAUGUGAUUUGUGUGUCAGGAGAAGGGGCAGAACAAUGUCAACUUUCUUGUUUGUAACCCUUUAUAUUUGUUUUCACAUUGAACAACAAUUUUGUCACUGCUGUUACCAAAUACAUUUGUCAACUCUUGCGUUUCCAAUGCGGAUAUUCUGUGAAACUACUAACAGCCUCACGUAUUGAUGUUUGUGAAUUGCUCAAAUGAAAAUAAAUGACAACAUAUUUUGUAAUAAAUAAACAUAUUUAGAGAUCCAGUUACUUUAUU